GCGGGUAUCGUAUAACGGCUAUUAUGUAUCCUUCCCAAGGAUGAGAUUGGGGUCCGACUCCCCAUACCCGCACCA
rnacentral:tRNA from 1 species